UUUAAUAGGAACUUUUAUAUUUUAAUUUUGAAGGUUAAACUCUUGCCCCAAACGCAAAAGGGGUAAUCAUACUACCUGAUGUAUGGACUUUUACACCAGGCUUUUACCCUGCACUUGAGGGGAACUGAAGUGGGCAAACCUCGCCCUGUCAUUGAACAAGAAAGCUGGAUUUGUUGAGAGAGUAUCAUUAAAGCUGAAAUCCAGCAUGAAACCAGGGAGGUGAAGGCCAUCGCACAGGCCAUGUGCCGACUAUUCACUCCCCACCAGCUUGUGACUUGUUCCAUGAAGGGAGCAACAACUACAACGGGGUCACCAAGACCAUGCCUCCCCGCUGCUGAGAGAAAUGCAAUCAUUGAUGUCAUAGCCAAAACCUUUGACAAGCCUCUGGUUGAUGUUGAAGAAAAGAUGAGAGGUUGUUUAAGGCGUCUGCGGCUGAUGCACAAGUAGACUGAAGUCUUUGUAAAUAAAAUGUGCUGUUAAAAUGAUUAUUUAACCAUUGUUUUAACUUUGUUAUAUUGAUUUGCACCUGUUUCAACAACAUUAACUUAUUUUUAUGCUCCCGGUA